UACGUAGGGUGCAAGCGUUAAUCGGAAUUACUGGGCGUAAAGCGUGCGCAGGCGGCUUUGCAAGACAGAUGUGAAAUCCCCGGGCUUAACCUGGGAACUGCAUUUGUGACUGCAUGGCUGGAGUGCGGCAGAGGGGGAUGGAAUUCCGCGUGUAGCAGUGAAAUGCGGUAGAUAUGCGGAGGAACACCGAUGGCGAAGGCAAUCCCCUGAGCCUGCACUG
rnacentral:rRNA from 1 species